rnacentral:lncRNA from 1 species
UAUAUUUGGUAAUUUUUGUCCUGGCCAUUUUAAUCUUUUUUUUUUUUUUUUUGAACUUGUUCUUGACAAGAUUUCAUGUUCGUAAAUGCCAUGUUGAUGAUGAUGAAACAAUUGGUUCUUCCCAGAGGUGGAUUCAUAACUAUUAAUAAAGAAACCAGGAAAAUACUAAUUUUGAUUUAAAAAAAAAAAAAGAACCUGAAAAUAAUGAAAAAGAGGUUUUUAUUUAUUUAUUUAUUUAUUUAAAAUGAAAACUUAAGUGCACAAGCUGGUUUGAUGCUUUGCUUACAUUAAAGGUAUUUGGGCAAAUCAGACUUGAGAGCAGUGGCUGCACUUUUGAGAAUCAGUUUUGACCUUGGGUUGUUUCUGCUGUGGAAAUAAGUGAUUGUAAAUAGCAGUUCUAUAAAUCCCUUUGUGUUCUCUCUGUCCUUAAAUGGUGGAGGAGAAGGCUCUGGGGCCACUGCUUUCGUUGCUGGUGAUAGUUGGUAAUGCGAAAGCUGCUUCAGACUGCCUCAUGAGGAGGUUAAUCUACAAUUAAACAAUAUUUCCUCUCGGCUGUCCAUUAUUUUCUGAAGCAGAUGGUUCAUCAUUUCCUGGGCUGCUAAACAAAGCGAGGUUAAGGUUAGACUCGCGGGAAUCAGCUAGUUUUCAAUCUUAUUAGACUGCAGAAGGAAAACUAAUAAGAAAAGCUCCUAACAUCAUCUUGUGACUGUAAACAAUUAUUUAUUAGCAAACAAUUGAUCCCAGAAGGGCAAAUUGUUUGAGUCAGUAAUGAGCUGAGAAAAGACAGAGCGUAUCUGUGCAUUUGGGAAAGUCAUUGUAACGUAAUUGCAGUGCAUUUAGACAGGCAUCUAUCUGGACCUGUUUCUAUCUCUAAAUGAAUUUUUGGAAACAUUAAUGAGGUUUACAUAUUUCUCUGACAUUUAUAUAGUUCUCAUGCCCAUUGCAGUUGCCCAGCCGCUGGUGAUUAAAGGUUAAGAAGAAAAAAUUAUAGUGAGAAUGAGAUUCAUUUAGAUGUAAUGUCUUGUAGCAGAACACGAACUUAGCUUGGCCUGUUUCAAGUAGUUCCAGUGUUUCUGUUGUCAGACUUGUUAUUUUUAAUGCGUAAAUUUGUAAAUCUCUGAAAAGGACAUGGACCUUUAUGAAGUUUAUUUUACCCAUAGUGUAUU